rnacentral:tRNA from 1 species
UUAGAUAUAGUUUAAAUAAAACUUUUGUUCUUGGUACAAAAAAUGUAAUUAAUUAUUAUUUUCU